UACGUAGGGGGCAAGCGUUGUUCGGAAUUACUGGGCGUAAAGCGCGCGUAGGCGGUUUGGAAAGUCAGAUGUGAAAGCCCCGGGCUCAACUUGGGAACUGCAUUUGAUACUGCCAGACUAGAGUACAGAAGAGGUGACUGAAUUCCCAGUGUAGCGGUGAAAUGCGUAGAUAUUGGGAGGAACACCAGAUGCGAAGGCGGGUCACUGGGCUGAUACUGACGCUGAUGCGCGAAAGCCAGGGAGCGAACGGGAUUAGAGUAACCCUUG
rnacentral:rRNA from 1 species